GCGGGCGUGGCGGAAUGGCAGACGCGCGGGAUUUAGGUUCCCGUGGCCGAAAGGCCGUGCAGGUUCAAGUCCUGUCGCCCGCA
rnacentral:tRNA from 1 species